rnacentral:lncRNA from 13 species
GGAGAGAAAAUCUGCCAGGAUGGCUUUCCUGGCCCUUUUAUGGAAUGAUUAAGCCAGAGCAAGAGGCAUCCUGUGGCUUGGCUCCUUAGAUGUACUUCUGUAUGCUCCCCUACACUGCAGAGACAUCCAAAUGCCUUCAGCUGAUUAAAGUCAAUUGCUCUGGUGACCACAGAUUCCAUACCAGGAGUCACUCUGCUCAAGAAGUCCUUUUCCUGAUCCGUUUAGCCUUUUCAUAACAGUCUACGGUGAAAAGUCUUGUCAGCUGCUGUUUGCAUUGUAGGUGGGGACAGGUGAGUUGACAUGGAAUUGUUUGUGCUUCUUUUGUGCAAACGAUGAAUAACAGUUGCCUUCAGAUGAACUUAACAGGUCAAGUAAUUCUACUUUAACAAAAUGUAAGGCUUCCUUAUUGAAACAGAGGUGAAGACCCAGGGUCACCUUGAGCUAAGGAGGAGAGAGGCCUAAGUUGGUUUUACUGGCAACCAAGAAACCAUCUUUCUUCCUUCACUGAGCUCAAAGCACUUGUUUUUGCCUACUAAUUAAUUUCUAGGAAGUGAUGUGAACCUGUGGUCCUGCCUUCUACAUAUAAGGCUUCUGAUACAAGGCAGCUUCAGUAAUCACUGCCUGGCUUUUCCAGUUGAAAAAGGCCCAUCUCAAAAUUAGUUAUGGGGUGCCCCUCGAGGCAUCCAUGAGAGAUCCAGGCAGAGUCUCCGAGGAGAGUGUUUGAUCUAAUCUCAGGACAGGGGAAUGGCCUUAUUUUGUGA